GUUCCCGUAGUUGAGAACAACAGUGGCUUUUCAAGCCGUAGGCCUUGGGGUGGAACCAAGCGGGAAUA
rnacentral:tRNA from 1 species